rnacentral:rRNA from 1 species
GAGUUUGAUCAUGGCUCAGGAUGAACGCUAGCGGCAGGCUUCGUACAUGCAAGUCGAGGGGCAGCAUAAAUUACUUGUAAUUUGAUGGCGACCGGCGAACGGGUGCGUAACGCGUAUGCAACCUACCUUUUACUAGAGAAUAGCCAAGAGAAAUUUUGAUUAAUGCUCUAUACACUUUAAGACUCACAUGAGUCUAAAAGAAAAGCUCCGGCGGUAAAAGAUGGGCAUGCGUUCUAUUAGCUUGUAGGUGAGGUAACGGCUCACCUAAGCUUCGAUAGAUAGGGGUCCUGAGAGGGAGACCCCCCACACUGGUACUGAGACACGGACCAGACUUCUACGGAAGGCAGCAGUAAGGAAUAUUGGACAAUGGAGGCAACUCUGAUCCAGCCAUGCCGCGUGAAGGAAGAAGGCCCUAUGGGUCGUAAACUUCUUUUAUACAGGAAGAAAUCUUUCCACGUGUGGAAAGUUGACGGUACUGUAAGAAUAAGGAUCGGCUAACUCCGUGCCAGCAGCCGCGGUAAUACGGAGGAUCCAAGCGUUAUCCGGAAUUAUUGGGUUUAAAGGGUCCGCAGGCUGUUUGUUAAGUUAGAGGUGAAAUCCUACCGCUCAACGGUAGAACUGCCUUUAAAACUGGCAAACUUGAGUUAUUGUGAAGUAAUUAGAAUGUGUAGUGUAGCGGUGAAAUGCAUAGAUAUUACACAGAAUACCGAUUGCGAAAGCAGAUUACUAACAAUUAACUGACGCUGAGGGACGAAAGCGUGGGUAGCGAACAGGAUUAGAUACCCUGGUAGUCCACGCCGUAAACGAUGGUCACUAGCUGUUUGAUGUACAUUGGUACAUUGAGUGGCUAAGCGAAGUGAUAAGUGACCCACCUGGGGAGUACGCUCGCAAGAGUGAAACUCAAAGGGAAUUGACGGGGGCCCGCACAAGCGGGUGGGAGCAUGGUGGGUUUAAA